rnacentral:rRNA from 1 species
AUACGGAGGAUGCGAGCGUUAUCCGGAUUUAUUGGGUUUAAAGGGUGCGUAGGCUGUGCGUUAAGUCAGGGGUGAAAUGCCGUCGCUCAACGACGGAGCUGCCCUUGAUACUGGCGUGCUGGAGUACGGAUGCCGUUGGAGGAAUGAGUGGUGUAGCGGUGAAAUGCUUAGAUAUCACUCAGAACACCGAUUGCGAAGGCAUCUGACGAAUCCGUCACUGACGCCGAGGCACGAAAGCGUGGGGAUAGAACAGGAUUAGAUACCCUGGUAUUCCACGCCGUAAACGAUGAUGACUAACCGUCGGCGAUAGACAGCCGGUGGCCAAGCGAAAGCGAUAAGUCAUCCACCUGGGGAGUACGUCGGCAACGAUGAAACUCAAAGGAAUUGACGGGG